UACCGAGACAGACGGAUAGGUACUAGGA
rnacentral:sRNA from 1 species